rnacentral:tRNA from 1 species
GGGCACAUAGCUCAGCGGUUAGAGCACCACUCUUAUAAAGUGGGGGUCCCUGGUUCAAAUCCAGGUGUGCCCACCA